AGAGAGCCACCGGGGCCCGCUCGCGCGCCUCUGAGAGGCUGUCCGCGCGCGCGCGUGUGUGCGUGAGUGUGGAUUUGCCGGGACUGGAGCUGGAAAGUUCAAACUAAACGUGUUGCUCUCGCCGAGUGCCGAGGCCGCGGCGGAGGCUGCCCAACUUCCCCGGGCCAAGUGAGUGGCGUUGCCCAGCGCCUUUGGCGAGGCGGCGGCCGCUCGGCCCUGCGCCCGGCCGCGGCGGCGGCGGCUCCGCUCGCCCCGGGAGGGAGCCCGCGGCCAGGGCUGGACUCUCGCCCCGCCACCUCCACCGACUCUCUCCUCAGCCUCCGCGCCUGGCACCGCAGCAAGACUUGAAUGAAGUGAUCAUGUAAACUAGAGAAAGGAGAUUAAAAAUAACCUCUGGAUAUUCCUCUCAUGUGAUCUUUAUUCUGGAUGAAGCAUUAGGACAGCUAAUAGCCGUGUGUCACUUAAAAAUCCAACUUGAGAACUGUCACCAAAGAUGUCUAGGAACUUUGAAGAAACAUGAAGGAUUAGACUGGAGAGAAGGCUGUUUCCACCAUAAAGACAUUUACCCAGCCAGCCCUAUGAAAACAGGAGCCUAUUUCACUACUUGGUUAUUGACUGAACAGAGUAGCCAAGAGGUGGGCCUUUCAGCCCUUAGGGCCUGCCAGACAGCAUUAAAACUAAGUCUUCUGUGAAGAAGCUCCCUGUGCUUGGGAGUAUGCAGCUUUAAUGUUUGAAAGAGUGAGGGAGGGAAGAAGGGAGAUAACCCUCCCAGAAAACAGAAACGCAGACCGUGCUUUAGAAAAGAUCUUUCCAUAUGUAACAAACCUGCACGUUGUGGACAUGUACCCUAAAACUUAAAGUAUAAUAAUAAUAAUAAUAAAAGAAAAGUUCUUUCUCACAAUCCUAUCAGAUGGAAUGAGUCACCCACCUCCCUUGUGAGGGAAGGAGUAAGGCCCCCAGGAUAAUGCUUGUUGGGGCAGCCUUGGCUUACUCCCCUGAGAAAGCACACAGCUGAGCAGAAGCUGCCUCUUUGGAACCAGUGGUGGAAUAGUUACUGGUUUUACGAAUACAAUGGACACAGCAGAUUUUGUUUGUUUGUUUGUUUUGAGACAGGGUCUAGUUCCGUCACCCAGGCUGGAGUGCAGUGGUAGGAUCUUGGGUCACUCCAGCCUCAAUCCCCUGGGCUGAAGCGAUCCUCCCACCUCAGCCUCCCAAGUAGAUGAGAUUAUGCCUGGAUAAUUUUUUAAAUUUUUAAAAAAUUUUAAAAAAUUUUGCCCAGGCUGCUCUUGAUCUCCUGGGUUCAAGCGAUCCCGUCGCCUCUGCCUCCCAAAAUGCAAGGCUUCACAGCAGAUGUUUUCAGUAGAAAUUGUCUUAUAUUUGUUUUGUGUUGUUAUUGAAAUGAAUAUAAUGCUAGAUAUUUCUUGGUAUUUCGGAAGUUUAUAUCUUAUAGGAUAGAUUUUAUGGUAACUUUUUACAUCUUGAAAAUUAUGUUAAAAUUAUUUUAGUUUAACUUUGUUGAUUAUCUGCUUGUAUGAAUUGGCUUUAAUGACAAGAAAAUACUUUAAAACCCCAGGGUUACCUCCAGCUGGCUUGUCCUUUACCCCUGAAAAUUUUGGUUUCCUAAUAUAGGCAAUGACAAAAAGAAUAUUUAAAUUCCACACUCUCCAAAGUUGCAAAGUAAAAAUAAAUAAAAUAUUCAUAAACGUAUCUGAAAUGGGUCCAAAAUCAAAGAUUCAGGUAAAUAUUAAAAUACAUGUCCUUUUUUCUCUGUUGUAGAUGGACAGAGAGAGAAAAAAAAUCACUGAGUAGAGAGAGAAAUUAUAUUGUAAAUAAAACAUAUGGCGAAAGAAAACUUUUCAGGCAAAUUAAUUUUUAAAAAGCCACAUCAUACACGAUAUUAAUUAAAAAUGUGUAUAUAUAUAAUUUAAAUAAAAAUAUUUUCCUUUUUGUUAUCUUCUUCAUCUUCCAAAUUUUGGCAUUAAAAAUAUUAGGAAGGCAUUUCUAUGGCUUUUAAAAAAGCUUUCCAAGCAGCUCUCAAUUUAUUGUUUCACAUAAUGCUACUCUUUUCUCUAAGUCUGCCUUGUCAGCUAACGUGUUUUGGGAAGAAAAAAGAAAACAAAACAAAACCAAGACUCUGUUCUUCUCAUCUCUUUGAUUGAGUUAUCCUUUGCUAGGUGAAGUGUUGUGAGCUUUCAUACCCUUCCCUGGGCUUCCAGCAGCUCUCCCCACGGAGUGCUGCCACAGCACCACCAGGAGCCCCAGAUCCCUGCAAGGAGGAGAUCAAACCUCCACAGCAGGGAUUCCUCAAGACAGGUCAAGCUCCAGUGCUUGGAAAACUCAGCCUACAUCACACAAAAAUGUUAUCAUUUAUUUGGAAUUCUUUUUCAAUGGAUUGUCUCCACUUCUAAAACAUUUCUAAGUCUAGUUCAAAUCCAGCUGCAGAUUCCUGGCACUUGCUUCCUUCCCAUUCUUUUUCAUAUAUCUUCUUUUAUGUUGCAUAUACUUACUUCAGAUUAAGUAUAUAAGUUAAACUUUCAGUCUAUUCUGCCAUUAGAAGAGUUUAUUUCCAUACACAAUAAAAAAGGAUCGUUUGUAUUAUCCUCAAGAUUAGUGUAUGUUAUGAAUGCAAUAUCUUUGCAUUCAAGUGAAUUUAAAUAUUAUAGGAAGGGGUAGAGAAGGAAAUGCAAGUUAUCACUGACUGACUUGCCAAAGUUAAGCAAUUUUUAAGCAUUUUGGCAUGCAUGAUUGAUUGUGUACUUUUAAAUUUAAUAUUGUAUGGUAAUUAUUUUCUCACGUCAUUAAAAAGUAUUUUUUUCAAUGGCCAGAUAAUAGUUUAUCAUGCCAUGUACUGUAUUUAACUUCAAAUUGAUAGUCUUGAACACAUAUAUUAAUUUCAAUUCCACAGAUACAAAAAAUAAUUGACAUUAAACUUCUUUGAGAAUAAAACCUUGUCCAAAUUUGAUAUAUCCUUAGGAUGUAUUCCUAGACAUGGUUUAUUUCAUAUCUUAUGAACUCUUUAUUUGAAGGUAUUUGGUAUGAGUUGAGAAAUUACAUUACAGAAAAAAAUUUUGAGUGUGUAUUUCAUUCAAUCUUUGCAUUGUUUGUAAGUGCCUAUAUUAAGAACUUUUUUGUUAAAGUUUGACUAUGAAAUCUGAUGAGUGAAAAUUUAAUCUUUUUCUUAUUUUAAUUUUAAUUUCUUCAGUUAAUAGUUAAACUGAACGCUUUCCAUGUGUUUAUUAGCCACUUCUCAAUUUUUAUAUAUUUAUUUAGAUAAAAUUGUGCUUACCAACUCCAGUCUCAAUACUCUCUGUUAAGGUCUACGGUGUAUUCAUCUGUUGAGGUUUUUGUGCUUAGAGUAUCAAUUUUUGUGAAUGGGAUAUUUAUUAUAACUAACAAUUCUAGGUUUUAUUUAUUAAAAAUUGAACAAUCUGCUAUCUAUAAAAUCCGUAAUAUUUCCUUUGCAAUUUUCUUCCAAACAAUUGUAAGUUUUACACCAAAAUUAUUCCAAGAACAAAGCACGUGAGACUAUUUUAUUGACAAAACUUUGUUGGCUGAAAGUUUAUCUUCCGUAUACUUCAAUUUUUUUUCCCAUAGGAGGUUUAAAGAGCACACACACACACACACCACACACACACACACACACACACACACACACACACACACACACACACACACAGUGUUUCUGAAGCCCAGGCCAUUUUUGGUACCAACUAUAUCAAGUUAGAAUUUUUACAUGUGUCUCUUCUGUACGAAUCUAUACCAAAAUACAUGGACAGAAAAUACAGUGAUACAUUCUUUUAAAUGAAUGCUGAUUGCACUUUACAGUUUAAGAAACAAGGCUUCGAUGUAGGGAUUUCAGAGUGAACACUUACUAUAUAUCUUUGGAAACUAGACUGCUAACCUGUUACUGAAAUGUUUGCAUCAAAUUGUUUAUCAGGUUAUUUUCUCUCGGUAUAUAAAUAUAACAAACUUGGACAAAGUGGAUGUAUUUUCAAAGGAUAAUAAAAACUAAGAAUGGAGUGGGUCAAUAUACAAGGAGAAAUAAGGCAAUAGACUGGAAUGUAGAGAAGAGAGAGAGACUGGCACAGAGGGACAGUGGGGAUGAUAGGUAUUUUAAAAAAUAAUGGGAAAUGAAAAGAUUUUCUCUAUCACAGAAAACCAAGGUUCUGUGGAGACAGACCCUAAACUAGACUCCUGCAGAGUCUAAUGCUCGUUCAUCACAAGGCAUGCUAGACACUGCAAGACCCAUUGGCCCAUCUUUUUGAUCCUCACUCUCAAUCAUCUAAACAAGGCUGAGAGAUGACUCUCUGUACAGCCUCUGCAUUGUGUAAUAAUAACUCUGAAAUAGUUUCUGAUCUUUUCUCUUAGGGGUUGCAUAAAAUUUUGCUUCUAGCAAGAGAAAUAAACAACCCAUAACUAAAUCUAGAAACUUAGCAGGCAAAGCUCUGUAGUCAGAAUGGCUACUUUAAUUUGAGCAAUUCUGAACACAAUUUGAACCUCUCCACACUAUGAAAAUAGCAUAAAAUGAAAGAAAUAAUAGCUAAUACACCAACAAGAAGUACAGUAUAUAUGAUGUACUUACAAAAAAAUAUAGAAUUAUGGAUAAUAUGACACAUUCAUUGAGCAAAGAGAACAUGGCAUACAUUUAUCUUAUAUAAAAUAAUGCUUUAUAAUAUAUAUUUAAUUGAACAUGGAUUCUUAAUACAGAAACAAAAAAUAUUUUAGAUUGAUUAUCAUUGUACAAUUCCUUAGAGACAAAAAAUGUAAGUAAAAUGUCUGUGGAUUUUCCAAUACAACCUACUCUUCCUAUCUAAGUGAUAAUAAUAGCCUUUAAGUAAUUUUCUAAGGAUUUUUAUUUUAAAAAGUUUAAUUUACCAAUGAAAAAACAUAAAUCUUUGACAUUAAAUGAAAGCUCUAACAGAUGACGCAGAUAUUUCUAAUAAAAACAACUCAAAAAAUGGAGGAACUAAGCUCGUAUAUUUCAUUAGAGAUAUUGGAUAUAGCAAAUUAGCCUUUAUUUUAAAAUGAGGUCUCUCAAUCUAAUUUUAAAAAUAAAUAUAAGCGGACUUUUACUUACAGCAAGGUGGAGGAAAUAUAUUUUUUUUCUCUAUAUUUCCUUCUAACAAGGAAUGAAAACCCUAGACAUCAUAUAAGAAAAAACAAUAAGAAGAUUUUGAAAGAUAGAGAGAAAUCAGACCAGCCAGUGGCUUUGGAACCCUAGGAAGAACUCAGUGGUGAGUUUCCUGGAUCUUCCUUUAAUCUCACAUAUCUGAGCCUUAUUGCUGAAGAAUUCAACAACCUGGAGAUACCAAGAGCACAGAGAAAACCACACCCCGACAAAAGUCUGCUCUUUCUAGCCAAAGGGUGAGGAACGGGCCUGCCUAGAAAGACAUCAUACUUCUAGACAACAACCCAUCAACUCCAGCAAAUGCCACAGAAAAAAACUGUGGCCCCGCUCUCACUCCCACAAUACGUAUCAAUUGGGGGGCACAAAGUUUCUUCCUCUCGAGGCCAUAACGAUGUGCUCCCCAAACCCUGCUGGGGUGGUUGGUGUGAGAGAGAGCCAGAUAGGAAACUUGAUGUUCAUCUUCUCUCGCUGUAAGAAAUCCCCAUGCCCCUUCCCCUCACUCCCGGCCAUAGUGUCAGUUUAUGUGAUGUGAGGAUCCUAGUGCUGCAUCCUCACCACACAAGAACAAGCCCCCCUCCACCACCCUGCCCAUUAUGAUGGAGUCAGCAGAGCCCGGUGGAGAGUCCCAUAGACUGGUCACAUAGACUGGCCGCGUAGACUGGCCACAGGGGAUCUGGGCUUCUCACUCCGCCAGGCAGCAAUGAAGUGGCACCCUCCCAUUCUGUCAGAGUGGAGUCAGAUCAUGCCAGCUAAAAUGCACGGUUUAAAUACAGGCUUCAUCACAUGAUUGGAAAUGUCCACUUUUAAAUUGAAAAUCACUUAUCAUACCAAGAUCCAGGAAGACCUAAAACCAAAUGCACCAGGCAUGGUAGGUAACACCUGUAACUCUAGCACUUUGGGAGGCCAAGACGGGAGGAUCACUUGAGCUCAGGAGUUCAAGACCAGCCUGGGCAACAUAGCAAGACCUCAUCUGUACUUAAAAUUUUUAAAAAGCUAGCCAGGUGUGGCAGCGCAUGCCUGUAGUUCCAGCUGCUCUGGAGGCUGAGGCAGGAGAAUCACUUGAGUCUGGGAGGUCAAGGCUGCAGUGAGCCAUGAUUGUGCCACCACACUCCAGCCUGGGUGACAGAGUGAGACUCUGUGUCAAAAUAAACAAACAUAUAAGCUGAAUGAAAAGGACAGUCAGCAAUUAUAAAUAUGUGAUAACAGAUAUAGAAUUACCUACAAACGUUGUGAGGCAGCCAUUGUAAAAUGUUUCAAGGAGCACUUACAAAUAGAAAGUGCCAGCAAAGAGAUAUAAAGAACAAAGGGGAAAUUUGAAUAUUUAAAAAUUAAUAAUCAAUGCGAAAGUUUAGUGUUUGGACUCAACAGCUUAAUGGAGGAGAUAGAGUAAAAGAUCAGGAAACUGGAAGAUAGAAUAAGAAAAGUUACCCGGUCUGAGCAACAGAGAAAAGAUAGCUGGAAAACAAUAACAAAAAUGACAGAGCAUCAGAGAUCUAAGGGACUAUAACAAAAGAUAUUAGAAAAAGGCCAGGUGUGAUGGCUCAAGCCUGUAAUUGCCUGUAAUACUAGCAAUUUGGGAGGCCCAGGAGGGCAAAUCACUAGGUCAGGAGUUUGAGAUCAGCCUGGCCAACAUGGUGAGACCCCCGUCUCUACUAAAAAUACAAAAAAAAAAAAAAAAUUAGCUGGGCAUAGUGUUGGGCACCUGUAAUCCCAGCUACUUGGGAGACUGAGGCAGGAGAAUUGCUUGAACCUGGGAGGCAGAGGUUGCAGUGAGCCAAGAUCACACCACUGCACUCCAACCCCGGGCGACAGAGUGUAACUCAGUCUCAAAGAAAAAAAAGAUAUUAGAGAAAAAAAAAUCAUGCAACCAGAGUCCCUAAAGGAGAGGAGGAAGGGUGCAAAGGUGAAAAAGUUACUUGAAAAAUAAUGACUUAAAAAAUAAUGAUGUUUGGCCAGAUACAGGACACUACAGAAUCAAGAAGCUGAGCAAACCUUCAACAAAAUAAUCCAAAGAAAUCCACAUCAAACAAUUAACUUCUGAAAUCUAAAAACAAAGAAAAAUCUUGAAAGUAGCCAAAGAAAAAAUGACACCUUAGUUACAGGAGAAAUUCAUAAUCACAGUAGGUUUCUGAUCUGGAACAAUGGAAGCCAAAUUAAUAGGACACAAUAUUUUUCAAGUGCUGGAGGAAAGGAACCGUCAACACCAAAUCCUAUAGCCUUGAAAAUGUCAUUCAGAAAUUAAGGGAAGAUCAAGACAUUCUCAGAUGAUAUAUAAUUAAGAAUAUUUAUUACCAGCAGACAUACCCUAAAAUAAUGACUGAAGGAAGUUCUCUAAACAGAAAGGAAAAAAUAGAAAAAGGAAUCUUGGAACAUCAGGAAGGAAGAAAUCAUAUGAUUAAAACAAAUAUGGGUAAAUAUUAUAGGCUUUCCAUCUCCUCUUGACUUUAAGAGAGUGGGUUUGAUGUUUGAAGCCAGAAUUAUAACACUGCCUCAAGUGGUUCUAUAUGAAUGCAGAUGAAAUAUUUAUGACAAAUAUAUUAUAAAUGGGGAAGAAUAGAGGAGCAUAAAAGAAGUAAGUUUUCCCUACUUCAUUUGAACUGAUGAAAUAAGGACACUACUGGAGUGUUAUGAGUUAUGUAUAAAUAAUGUAAUUCUGAGAACCACAGGAAAAUCACCCAACACAUUGAAACUAAGCAACAAUCUUUUAAGUAAUCUCACUAUCAAAGGGGAAGGAUCAAGGAAAAUAAAUAGAAAAUAAUGCAUAUUAAAAGUUAUGUGACACAGAUAAAGCAGUGUUAAAGGAAUUUUUGCACUAAAUGCGUAAUUAGAAAAGAAAAAUAAUCUCAAAUCAGCUAUCAUAGUUUGCAUCCCAAGAAUCUAGAAAAGUAAUUUUAAAACAUCAGAAAGAAAAAAAUGAUAAAGUUAUGAGACAGUUAAGAGCAGAAACAAAUGAAAUUGGAAACAGCAAAACAAUAUAAAAAAUCAAUGAACAAAAAAGCUAGUUCUUUGAAAGAUCAACAAAAUUGACAUGAAUGAUGAAAAAUAAGAGAAAGACAUGAAUUACCAGCAUGUAGAAUGGCACUAAAGAUGCUUCACUAUAUCCUGCAAUCAUCAAAAGGAUGAUGAGAGAUUACAAUGAACAACUCUAGACACAUAAAUUUGAUACCUUACAUGAAAUGGACCACUUUCUUUAAAAAAAAAAAGAAAAGCUACCACAAUUGACUCAACAUAAAUUGCUAAUUGGGAUAGUCUUUUAAGUAGUAAAGAAACUGAAUUCAUAAUUAGACAUUGUCAAAAUGAAAUCUCUGAGCCCAGAUGGUUUCACCGGAGAAAUUAUUUAAAGAAGAAUUAACAUCAAUUCUAAAGAAUCCAGAUUAUUGAGGGGGAGGGAACACUUUUUGAUAGACUUUAGAAAGCUAGUAUUACUCUGGUUUUGAUUCAUAUCAAAACCAGAAUAAAAUUGUUAAAAAUAAAAUAUAAGGAAAUAAAGAGAAAGCAACAUAUCAAUAACCCUCAUAAAUAUGACAGAAAAUAUUUAAGAAAAUAUUAGUAAAUUGAAAUAAAAUUCAGCAGUAUAUCAAAAGGAUUAUAUAUUAUAACCAUGUAUCUUCUAUUCUAAGGAAACAAGGCAAUUCAGUAUUCAAAAAUCAAAUAGUGUAGGCCCCCAUAUUAACAGAAUUAACAAAACUCUUCUAAUUUUCCAAUUAGAGGAAAAAUCACAUGGUCAUACAAUUGAUGCAGAAAAGGCAUUUUAAAUAUUCAGAAACCAUUUAUAAUAAAACUCUCAGAAAACUAGAAAUAGAGAGGGAUAUUUCUCAACCUGAUAAAGAACAUCUACAAAACCUGUGGGUAUUUUCAUAAUGAUGACAGAGAGAAUGCUUUUUCUCUAAGGUCAGGAACAAGGAAAAAAUGCUCUCACCACACUUAUCUAACAGUGAUUGAAAUUCUAAUCAGUGCAGUAGGGCAAAUAAUAAUAAUAACAACAAACACAAAGCAGAAAGGAAGAAACAAAUGUCCCUGCCUACAGAUGACUUGGUUGUUCGCAUGGAAAAUCUCAAGGAAUCUACAAAAAUAUUCCUAAAAACAGUAAGUAAGUUCAGCAAGUUUACAGAAUACAAGAUGUAUAUUAAAAAGUUAUAUUCCUAUAUAUUCACAGUGAAUACAUGGGAAAUGAACCAAAGAAUGUGAUAUCAUUUAUAAUCACUAAAAAUGAAAUGAAAUAUUUAGGUAUAAAUUGAAACUACACACCACUGCUAAAAGAAAUCAAAUAAGAUCCAACUAACAGAGAGUAAACUUAGUUUCUUGAAUUGAAAGAGUAAACUUAGUAAGUAGUCAAUUCUUUCUAAAUUUAUACUGGAGGUUUAAUGCAAUUCUGAUCAAAAUCUCAGCAAAAUGUUUCGUAGGUAUAGAAAAGAUUGUUAUAAAAUUUAUCUGGAAAGGCAUAGGUCCUAGGAUAGCUACAGUAAUUUUUACAGAGAAUAAUAAAGUAGGUGGAAUCUGAAUACCCAGUAUCAAAACUUACUUUACAUCUGUGUUCAUUAAGAAUGUUUGGUGUUGGUGGAGAGAUAGAAAUAUUGGCCAAUGGACAGAACAGAGAGCCCAGAAAUAGACACACACAAAUACACUCACCUAAUCUCUUAAGAAGGGGCAAAAGCAUUUCAACAAAUGGUACUGGAGCCAUCGAACUCCACAGACCAAAAAACAGUAUCUUAAUGUAAGGCUUACAUCUUAUUAAAAAAUUAACUCAAGAAAGGCCACACAGAGACAUAAAUGUAAAACAACUGUAAAACUUUUAGAAUAAAUAUAGGAGAAAAUUUCCAGUGUCUAGGGCUAAACGAAGAGUUCCUUGUCGUGGUAUCAAAAUCAUGGUCUCUCAAAGAAAAAAUAGUUAAUUGGAUUUCAUCAAAAUGUUUACUUUGCAAAAAAAAAAACACCUCUGUAAAGAGGGUAACAGAUCAGUUACUGGGCAGCUAAAAUAUUUGAAAUCUACAUAUAGGUAAAAGGACUAACAUCUAGGUCUAUUUUUUCAACUCUCAAAACUCAGUAGUAGCUAGUUGCAGUGGCUCAUGCCUGUAAUCCCAGCACUUUGGGAGGCUGAAGCAGGCAGAUCACGUGAGGUCAGGAGUUCAAGACCAGCCUGGCCAACAUGGUGAAACCCUGUCUCUACUAAAAAUACAAAAACUAGCAGGACAUGGUUAAUUAAUUAAUUGAUUAUUUAAAUUAAUACUUGGGAGGCAGACGCAGUAGAAUCGCUUGAACCCGGGAGGCGAAGGUUGCAGUGAGUUGAGAUCGCGCCAUUGUACUCCAGCCUGGCCGACAGAGAGAGAUUCUGUCUCAAAAAACAGAACUCAACGGUAACAAAAACAAAGAGAGAAUAGGCAAAAGAUAUGAAGAAAUUUCACAGAAAAUGAAAAACAUAUGGCAAAAAAACACAUGAAAAGAUACUCAAAAUUAUUUGCCAUUUGGAUAAUUAAUAUUAAAACCGUAAUGAGAUAUCACUGCAUAUCUUUCAUAAAAACUAAAAUCAAAGACAGUAAAAACACUAAAUCCUGGUGAGGCUGCAAAGGAACUGGAUCACUCACACAAUGCUGAUGGAAAGAUAAAACGGUAGAUACAUUCUGGAAAAUAGUUUUGCAGUUUCUUUAAAAAAAGUAAACUUGCAUUAAAACCCAAAAAUUGACCUCCUAGCCUUUUAUUUCAGAGAAAUACAGACUUAUGUUGACACAAAAACGAGUAAACAAAUGUUUAUAAUAGGUUGAUUCAUAAUAUCCACAAACUAAAAACUAUCCAGACAGACAUCCUUUACCAGAUGGAGGGUUAAACACACUGCGGUACCUCUAUACGAUGGAAUACUAUUCAGUGAUCAAAGGGAAAGAAUUAUUGAUAUGUGCAACAACCUGGAUAAUUCUCCAGAAAAUGAUGCCUGCUGACAGAAAUCAAUACCAAAAAGCUACACGAUUCCACUGAAGUCACAUUAUUGAAACGACAAAAUUACCAAAUGGAAAAGAUAUUAGUGAUUUCCAGGAAUUAAGGAGGGGAUGAGGUGAAGGAAGUGGGUAUGGCUAUAAAAGGGUAAAAUGAGUGGGUUCAACUGUAUUCCCCGCCCACACUAAUAAAGCAUAUGAAUAUAUGCUAAUGCCUGAAGCCUAUGAAUAUGACCCUAUGUGGAAAAAGGGGUUUUGCAGAUGUCAUUAAAGAUCUCAAGAUGACAUUAUCCUGGAUUAUCUGGGUGGACCCUAAAUCCAGUAUAAGUGCCCAUGUAAUAAGCCGAAGAGAUGAGAGAAGGCCAUGUGAAGACAGAGGCAGAGAUUGAAGUUUUACAACCACAGGUCCAGGAACACCUGAAGCCAGCAAAAUAGGCAAGGCAAUAGCUGGACUAGGCCAGGAAGGAUUCACUUCUAAACCUUGGAAGGGAAUGCAGCACUGCUGCUACCUUGAUUUUAGGCUUCUGGCCUCCAGAACGGUGAGAGAAUAAAUAUCAGUUGUUUUAAGCUGUCCAGCUUGUGGUCAUUGGUUAGGGGUUAGGACAGCUCUAGAAAACGAAUAUGGGGGAUCCUCAUGGUGAUGAAAAUGUUCUGUAUCUCUGGUUUAACAAUGUCAAUGUCCUGGGUAUCAUAUUGUACCAGAGUUUUGAAAGAUGUUGUCACUAGGGAAAACUAGGUAAAGCAGGGCGAUGUUUUUGUUUUAUUUUGCAUAACUGCAUGCAAAUCUAUCAUUAUCCCAAAAUAAAAUGUUGAUAAAAAUAAAUAAAUAAAAUUGAAUUAUAAUUUGAUCUCUGGGUUACACAAUCAGAAUGAGUUGAUGGCACCUGAAGGGCAUCUAUUUUAUAGUACACCUUCAUCCAAAUAUUUACUUUUAAUGAUUAACAAACCGACUUAGCAUGUUUGCAUUAAUAUCUUAAGUGAGUCUCUGGAAUUAUUCAUCUUUUAGCAAAAUACUAUGAAAGCCUCUCACACAGGCUAAGCAGAGAAUAUUAAUGACUAACUAUGAUUUAUCGUUUUGUGUUUGCUUCAAGAAACUGGUACAUAAAUAUGUAAUUCUUAUAAAAAAUUUGUGGCAGCUUAUAAAAUAUACAUGUAAUAUAAGGUGAAAAACAAAAUAAAAUAGGAGAGAAAUAAGGAUAGGAAAAGUAAAGGAAGGCAAAGUUAAAAUUAGAAUACAAAACAUCAGAGAGUGAUCUACACUUCACAAGUUUGGGCUUCUAAUUUUUCCAGAGAAGAAAUAUAUAAUUCCAUAAAGAUAUUUAAGCAAGUAUAAAUUAGUCAAUAUUCUCAUGUCAAAAAACUAAAACAUAAAAAUAAGUAUCUCAAUUAGAGAUGUCAAAUUUAGUCAGAGUUUAGAAUAUUCUAUUUAAAAUAUAUCCAGUACGAUUUCAGAAAUAAUUAUCUCAGUUCAAGAAGGGAAAACCUGCUAAAUAUUUAAAUGUCAAAUAUAUCAGUGAUAGUUUCUGUUCAUAUUUUUAGUCUUUUGUCCUGGUAUAACUGAAAAAUUUGCAUGACUUAAAAUGUCAUAUUUUAUUUCAGCCUUAAUAUUGGUUAGUUGAAAGGCAUAAUUAUGACCAGAAAAUGUACUUUAAAAUUACCCAAUGAGAAAAGCUAUGCUAGUUUUAACUGAAAAUGCUUUACUUAAAUGCCAAAAAUUGAAAUAGUCUACUUUAUUAAGAUAUUUAAAAUAAAAUUAUGAAAACGAUGUCAUAUCCUUUGCAAAGUUGGCACCCGAAGUUCGAGUUCUGUCUUUCAAAAUGUAAAGUGAUUUUUUUCUGUGGAAGUAGAAUUGUCACCUGUAAUGGUUUUCAGUAAAUUACUCUGAAGCAUCUUGUCAAGAACAUUCAUAAACUUAAAAAUAAAACAAAGAUUUUCAUGUCUAUCAAGACUAAAAUAACAAAAAGUUAUUCCCACCAUUUAAUAUCAUAUAAAGACAAAAAUAAAUAGAUAUAUAAUAAAAAAUAAAAUAUAUAUAUUUAAAGAUACAUACUUUUUUCAAUAGUAAGGAUCACAUUUGCAUGUAUAUGAAAUACAACAUAAAAAUCAGCAUAAAAAUCAUCCACUAUCUCAUUUUUACAUAAAAUGAUAUCUAACACGAGGACUGCUUGGAAAAUAGCAUCUUAAUCUUUGCUUAACUUCUUAGGUUAUUUUGGAACUCUCUUGAUCUCAGAUUCUUCUUCUAUAAAAUUGAGACAAUCUUUCUCCAGGAGAAUAGGUUCAGGUUUUAUAAAGUGAUAGAUAUAAAAGUAAUAUAACAGAUAUGAUUAUUAAUAAUAUUAUUAUUUGAAAUGGACAAGCAGUAAUGGGAGGAUAGAAUGAUAAGGAUGUGUAUCAUUGCCAAAUCCUUGAGGGAGGUGCUGGUAUUUGGAAAAAAAAAAAAAAACAACGAAUACCUAAACGUGAAUAAAUUUGAGGAAACUCUAUUGAAAGUCUUCCCCACCUGUUCAUGAAACAGAUGCCCUUUUCUCCUCUGUUAUUGCAUAAGUAAGGUAUAUGUCUUAGUCCCUUUCAAUUCCAGUCUGGCCAUGUGCCUGAGCUCUAUCUAGCCAAUAGAAUGCCAGCAGAAAUUAUAUGUAUCACUUCCAGGUCUUCCCUUUUAGAACCCUAACACCCACCCUCUUUCAUGCUCAUUCUUCACCAACUGAUUGCACACACCCGUCAAGGAACUUGGAGCUGUCAGAUGGCAGAAGGUUGCUGCCCUGAAUGGCAGAAUGGAAAUAAACGCACACCGGAAUUACCCGCAAUUAACCACUGCAACUAAAUGAGACAUCAACUUUACUUAUGUUAAGCCACUGAGAUUGUAAGUUUUGAAUGUAGACCCAAUAUACUACGCCGGUUAAUUUACAAGCCUAGAAUAGUACGAAGAACUAUCAUAUAUAAUAAGUAAUGCCAAUAUCAAAAUUAUGGUAAUGUUUCUUGAUACAAAAACAUAAACUGGAAAAGGAAACAAUUACUACUAACAAAAUUCACUAUAAGAUGUGUCUAAUAUGUCAAGCAUUGACCCUAGACUACGGUCAAAUGUCAGUUGGAAGGUUAAGUUGUGUACUCUAAGACAAGCACGUGAAAUAAUUCCUGUGGAUUCCUGUCAGUGCAGCAGUUUCUCAGCUAGUGUUAGUCUAGGAGAUUCUGACCAGCAGCACUUCUUGUUCAGCUCCUUUUCCUUAACGUGUAAUUUUCAGCAGAAUAAAACUGCAUUCUCUAUAUUCUAGCACAAAUGAACAUUUUGUGACUAACAGUAUUCACUGAUAGUAUAAUGUAUCGGCCUUAUUGCUGUCAAUAAUUAUUAUUUGUAUUUAUAUUACAAUAUUACAUUUCAGUUAUUUUGGUUCAAGGUUUUAGAGUCAUCAACUUCUGUGAACAUUUCUAAGAAUUUUCCAUCCCUUAUCUUCCUACCCCCUUCAUCAGGAACCCUUAGUCUAAGUAACCCCAUAUACUUUUGCCUAUGUAACCCCUCUCAUAUCAAAAACUAGAACACAGACAUAUUGAGAUGGACUCAGUCAUAAAGGGAUAUAAAUUUGUUUUGUAGAUUCAUAUGUUAAUUUUAUAAUAAUAGAUUACUUUUAAUUGACACAAAAUAUUACCCAGCUCAGAUAAUAUUUUAUUUUGCAAUCUUUCAACAAUUAGCUGUUAGGAAAGACUGUUUAAGUGAAGGAUCUACCAUAAAGAAUCCAAAAUAAUAUACCACUUUUUGCCCAGUGGCUUUUGCGUAUCAGGCACUAUGUUACAGAUUUUAUAUGCCUAACUACUAUGUUUUUAUAAAGUAUUAUUUUCUAAAUUUACAGAUGAGAUAGCCUCACCUCACUGAGAUUACAUGAUUUGCUAAAGACCACAAGGAUAGAAUCAAGAUUUGAACUCUUUUCUUUCUCCAAAUCUAGAGCUCUUUUUCCUUACUUCUGUUCUAUGGAAUUGAUUGUUCUGCUUCUUUUCUAUAAUUAACCUUUACAAUCACUUAAUAACAAAUUUGUGAUAUAUACGGUAGACACCAAUAUAAGUGCUGAAGCUACAAAGAUAAAUGGGAACCCCUGGCCAGGUGUGGUGGUGCGCGCCUGUGGUCCCAGCUACUCAGGAGAUUGAAGCGGGAAGAUCACUUGAACUCAGGAAUUUGAGAUCAGCCUGCUCCAAAAAGCAAGUCCCCAACUCUAUAAAAAUAUAUUUUUAAAAAAUUAGCCAGACAUGGUGGCAGGCAUCUACGGUAGCAGCUAUGUGGGAGGCUGAGGUGGGAGGAUUACUUGUGCCUGGAAGUUCAAGGUUGCAGUGAGCUAUGAUUGCACCACUGUGCUCUAGCCUGGGUGACCACAAAGCCCUGUCUUAAAAACAAAACAUAAAAGUAAAAAUAUGGAACCAUCAGUCUAGUUGGAGAAAAAUUCAUGAAAAUAAAUGAUUACAUUGUGGUGGGAUAUGCGAGUAGAGGUGAAAGAGAAGACACAGAAGCCCUGCCGUGAAGGCAGUGAAUAACUUGCUAUGGGACUUUCAAGGACUGUUUGGAGGUGAAGGCAGUACCAGAGCAGGAAUUAGAGGUACAUUGGAAACUUAGUAGGCCAACAGAGGAGAUGAGGGUGUGAGGUGUGGAAGAGAAGAUACCUGAGUGGGGUCUACUCAUGGCAAACCUAUAUACAAUGCUAAGAAAUUUGAGCUGUUGUCCUGUGCAUGAGAGGAAACAAUGACAAAUUUUACUGAAAAUAAUAAUUUUAAGAGAUUUUUGAUGUAAGAAAUUACUAUCAGCAACAGCAAAUAUGGGUCAGGGAUGGAGAAACUAACUGGGUUGUGAUGGCAGAUUAGAGAUCAUGUUUCCAUUUAUCCAAUCUAUCAAUCCAUUUAUCCUUCCACUUUAUUAGAAAAAGCCUGGUCUAGCUACUCAGGAGGAUGAGGCAGGAGAAUCGCUUGAACCAAUGGAGGUUGCAGUGAGCCGAGAUCACACCACUGCACUCCAGCCUGGGCAACAGAGCAAGACUCCUUCUCAAAAAAAAGAAAAAAGAAAAGAAAGAAAAGAAAAGAAAAGAAAAGAAAAGAAAGAAAAGAAAAGAAAAGAAAAAGACUGGUCUAACAAAUAAUAGUUGGGACAUUGGGAAUAUGAUAGGUUUUUGACAUAUUUAGGAACUGAAAUUCAGGCAUUUUAGAGAUUUAUGGGACAUCCAGGUAGAGUUCUAUGAUAGGCAACUGAAUAGUUAGAUUUCACAGGAAAGCAGAUCAAUCAAUAAAUGUGGGACUUAUGUAUUUACAUGUGGUUAUUAAAACCAAGGACAAAGAUUUCAUUACCUUAGAGUAUAGUAAAAAAGAGAGGAUUGAAUAGAAUCACAAAGAGGGACACAGGGACAGAGAAGAAGGAGGAAGGAGACUGGGAAAGAACAUUUAGGAAGAGGACAGAGACCUAGAGAGGAUCAUGUAAGGAAACCAAGUAAGGCAUGUUCUCAAGACUAUAAAUUGCUGAUAGGAACAGAAGCCACAGGAAGUUUAAGAACAGUGUACAUUGGUCUCACAAAAUAGGAGACCAUUUGUUAAAACACUGUCCAAGGCACUACUUAUGGCAGCAGAAGUGAGAUUAAAGGGGAUUAAGUAGUUGGUGAAAAUUAGACAGUGAAAAUAUAAAAGUAAAUUACUAUUUUCAUAAAUGUAUAUAGGCACACCUCAUUUUAUUGAACCUUGCUUUACAAAUUUUAACCUUGUGGUUAAAACAACCACAGAUACUACAUUUUUUACAAAUUAAAGGUUUUGGCAACUGUGUGGAGCAAGUUUAUUGGCAGCAUUUUUUUCCAACAGCACGUUCUUUCUCUCUUUUGGCCUCUGUUACAUUUUGGUAAUUCUUGCAAUAACUAAAACUUGUUCAUUAUUAUCACACCUGUUACGGUAACCUGUGAUCAGAGAUCGUUGAUGUUACUGUUGUAAUUGUUUUGGGGUGCCAUGAACCAGAACCAUGUAAAACGGCAAACUCACUUGUUAAGUGUUGUGUGUGUUCUGAAUGCCCCACUGACCUGUUGUUCUGCCAUCUCUGUCCUUCUCCUUGGGCAUCCCUAUUCUCUGAGACACAACAAUAUUGAAAUUAGGCCAGUUAAGCCUACAAUGGCUUCUAAGUAUUCAGGUGAAAGGAAUAGUUACAUGUCUCUUACUUUAAAUCCAAAGCUAGAAAUGACGAAGCUCAGUGAGGAAGGCAUGUCAAAAGCCAAUAUGGGACAAAAGCUAGACCUCUUGCACCAAAACUAGCCAAAUUAUGAAUGCAAAGGAAAAGUUCUGGAAGGAAAUUAAAAGUGCUACUUUAAUGAACGCACAAAUGAGAAGAAAGCAAAACCUUAUUGUUGACAUGGAGAAAGUUUUAGUGGCCUGAGUAGAAGAUCAAACCAGCCACACUAUUCCCUUAAGCCAACGUCUAAUCUAGGGGAAGGCCCUAACUCACUUCAAUUCUAUGAAGGCUGAGAGAGGUGAGGCAGCUGCGGAAGAAAAGUAGGAGACUAGGAGAGGCUGGCUCACGAAGUUAAGGAAAGAUGCCAUCUGCAUAACAUAGAAAUGUAAGGUGAAGCAGCAACUGCUGAUGGAGAAGCUGCAGCAAGUUAUCCAGAAGACCUAGCUAAAAUAAUUGGUGAAAGGGCCUACACUAAAACAACAAAUUUUUAGUGAAAAACGCAGCUUUGUAUUGGGAGAAGAUCUCCUCUGGACUUUCAUAGCUAAGAAGGAGAAGUUGAUGCCUGGCUUCAAAUCUUUAAAGAAUAGGUUGACUCUUCUAUUAGGGGCUAAUGCAGCUGGUGACCUUAAGUUGAAGCCAAUAUGAAUUUACCAUUCUGAAAAUUUUAAAACAAGAAUUAUGCUAAAUCUACGUAGCCUGUGGUAAGUGGAACAAAACCUGGAUUACAGCACAUCUGUUUAUAGCAUGAUUUACUGAAUAUUUUUAGCUUUCUUUUGAGACCUAGUGCACAGAAAAUAAUAUUCCUUUCAAAGUAGUACUGCUCAUUGACAAUGCACCUGGCCAUCCAAAAGCUCUGAUAGAGAUGUACAGGGAGAUUAAUGUUGUUUUCAGGCCUGCCAAUGGAACAUCUAUUCUGCCACCCAUGGAUCAAGGAGUAAUUUUGACUUUCAAGCACUAUGAUUCAAGAAAUACAUUUCAUGGGGAUAUAGAUUCCAUAGAUAGUGAUUCCUCUGAUUGAUCUGGGUAUAGUCAAUUGAAAACCUUCUGGAGGCUGGGCAUGGUGGCUCAUACCUGUAAUCCCAGCAAUUUGGGAGGCUGAGAAGGGCAGAUCUUCUGAGGUCAGGAGUUUAAGACUAGCCUGGCCAACAUGGUGAAACCCUGUCUCUACUAAAAAUACAAAAACUAGCCUGGCAAGGUGGUGCACCCCUGUAAUCCCAGCUACUCAGGAGGCUGAGUGAGGCAAGGCAGGAGAAUUGCUGGAACGUGGAGGCAGAGGUUGCAGUGAGCCGAGAUCCCGCCACUCACUCCAGCCUGGAUAAAAGAGCAAGACUCCAUCGCAAAAAAAAAGAGAAAACCUUCUGGAAAUGUUUCAUUACUCUAAAUUGCAUUAAGAACAAGGAGGUCAAAAUAUCAACAUUAAUAGUACUUUGAAAGAAGUUGAUUCCAACUCUCAUGGAUGACUUUGAGGGGUUCAAGACUUCAGUGGAGGAAGUAACUGAAGAUGGUCUGGAAAUAGCAAGAUAACUAGAAUUAGAAGCAGAGCCUGAAAACGUGACUGAAUUGCUGCUACCUCAUAAUAAAUCCUUAAGGGAUGAGAGGCUGCUUGUUAUGGACGAGCAAAUAAAGUGGUUUCUUGAGACAGCCUCUACUUCCGGUGAAGAUGCGAUGAACUUUGUUGAAAUGACAACAAAGGGUUUAGAAUACUCUGUAAACUUAGUUCGUAAAGCAGCCACAGGGUAUGAGAAGAUUGACUCCAGUUUUGAAAGAACUUCUAAUUUGGGUACAUUGUUAUCAAACGGCAACGCAUGCUACAAAGAAAUCUUUUCUGAAAGGAAGAGUCAAUUGAUGAGGCAAACUUCAUUGUCUUAUUUUAAGAAAUCAUCGGCCAGGCAUGGUUGCUCACACCUGUAAUCCCAGCACUUUGGGAGACCGAGGCGGGCAGAUUGCCUGAGCUCAGGAAUUCACAACUAGCCUGGGAAACCCAGGUGAAACCCCAUCUCUACUAAAAUGCAAAAAAUUAGCCGGGCGUGGCUGCGUGCUCCUGUAGUCCCACCUACUCGGGAAGCUGAGGCAAUAGAAUUGCUUGAACCUGGGAGGCAGAGGGUGCAGUAAGCUGAGAUUGUGCCACUGCACUCCAGCCUGGGCCACAGAGUGAGAUUCCAUCUACAAAAAAGAAAAAAAAAAAAAAGAAAGAAAAAGAAAAGAAAUUGUCACAGCCACCCCAGGAUUUAACCACCAUCGUUGUCAUCAUCAGCAGCCAUCAAUAUGGAGGUAAGACCUUCCACCAGCAGAAAUGUUAUAACUGGCUGAAGGCUCAGAUGACUGUUAGCAGUUUUAGCAUUAAAAUAUUUUUAAUUACGGUAUUUUCAUUGGUUUUUUAGACAUGAUGUUAUUAUACAUUUUAUAGACUACAGUGUAGUGUAAAUGUAACUGGGCCGAAAAAAUUGUGACUUUAUUGGGACAGUUGCUUAAUUGCAGUGAUCUCGACCCUCACUUGCAGUAUCUCUCAGGUGUGCCUGUAUAACGUGAAUGGAAUUUAUUAACAGGGAGUGAAACGAAAGAGUGGCAACUAGAGAGAAGCAUGGAGUAAGGAGAGGGAUUUUCUCUUGAUUUCAUUUGUUGACAUAGGAAUCAUUUAUAGAUUUGUUUUUCAUUUAUUUCAAUGAUAAGAAAGAAUGAUAAGAGGUGGCAGAGAAAGAGAAGUUGAAAAUAGAAUAAAGCUAAGUUACUUAUUAUUGAGGAAAACCUAAAUGAAAAAUAGGGAAAUAGGAUGAAGUCUAUUAAAGAGAUUAUCCAUGAGGAGGGAGACCUCAUCUUCUGAGACAAGAAUAAAAGAUACAAUGGUGGACUCAGAGGUAAAGUAAUUAUAAGUCUUGGUGAAUGUGUGUGGUGGAUAGGGAGGUAUGACUAUUCUUUCUCAAAGUAAGUGGUAAUUUAACUAUUGGGGAAAGGGAGAUGCUUGAUAUUUUGAGGACAUUGAUAAAGUCUAAGCCAAGCCACCUUUUUUUUUUUGAAUAAUUACUGAACCAUUCCUUUUCUUUAGCAAGUACCAUUACUUGAAUAUAAUUGACUCUACUAAAAGUCUUCAUAUAUUUAUAAUAAUCAUUGUUAAAUCAAAAUUAUUUUCUAAAAAUAUCUAGGCUACCAUAACAUAAAUAACAUAUCACAAUAUUUUCAAAGACAGUUAUCAUUUAGCUUAUUCAUAUAAUAAUUAUCCCGUUAACUUUUUUAUUUUCUGAGGUGAUAAAUCUACCUAUUUUCAUUAAGAUUUUAUGCAAGCAUAAUUUAUACUACAUAUAACAAGUUUUUUUCAACUCACAAUGACCUUUUAAAAUUGUUAAUAAGAGUAUAUAAGGGGUUUUAGAAAACUCCUUGGCUUGUAGGUGUGAGAGAAAGUCACAUUUAUUAUUACUAGAAGCAGUGUUCUGUUGGCAUAUUACAAUGUGGCAGACAAUCCUUCAACAAUUAAUUACCAGUAAAGUAAUUAUAGAAUAUCCUUUGAUGUUUAUAAUGUUUUAAUUGAAGUAAAAAUGUGAGAAUAUGCUUCAGGGGAAUAUAAUAUUUUAAUUAUUUAUGGGCCAAGAUAUCUAUAUACUUUGACUAGAGUGCAUUUCUCUAUUCUGUGGCAUCUCUGUUAUAAUAGAACAUUUGUAGACUAAAAAAAUAGGGUGUUUUCCCCCCACAGCGUAUUACAGUGAAUGUAGUCUACUUUAUAAUCCUCAGGGUUCUUUUAACUUGACGUGAAUCAAACACCUUAAGGAAACAGAAACUAAGACUGAAAGUUUUGACAAAUUAGUUUUGAAACCUUCACAAACUAAACCUGUUUUUGAUAUUGGUUUCAAAAAGUAUGCAUAGAAACUUGACAUGAAGUAGCUAAAUUUAUGCACUCAAUUGAUAUUUAUAUGUGUGCAGGUCUAUCAACGUUAUUGAAAAGUUAAUCCAAAGGAUUUAUUGAUUACUCUCAAUUUCUCAGAUACUGUCAGUUCACUUUUGAAAAUUAUUCUCUUAUGUAAUAUUGCACUCUUUUCAGUAAAAAGGAGAGUUUGUGGCUGUUAAAUAUGCAUGAGGCACAAUAGUUUCACAACAAAUCAAAUUUAAUUAAAUGAUGCAUUUCCUCCACUUACAAAAGGUUUAUUAAAGGUUUAUUUGCUCAUGCAAAUUAAAGUGUUAGAGUAAAAAUCCACAUGAAACUUGGCACUAACAAUUAAAAAAAUAUUGAAAGAUUUCUCGCCUCGCUGCAAUACCUUGCUAUGUUUAAACUGCUCAGCUUGUCAUUUAGAAUCUUUAAUGAAACCAGGGAGGAGGCUAUUUAUUUGCAUAAUAGGACAUAAUUUGCUGUGGUGAGGUUUUAAUUAUUUAUAGGCUGUCUGAAAUAUUUAAAAUGGCAUCACUAAGGAGCAUGAAGUGUUGGAUAAUGCCUUCAUUUCAGGUUUCCUGCCGUUUCUUUUAUGGGUCAAGCGAUUUAUUUCUAAUUAGCAUACCAGGCUAGUGGCUUUAAAAACAUAAGGAAAACAAAUUGGUUUCAGUCUGUUUGCAGCUUGAGUAGUUGGAGACGGCCAAGGGUCACUGACGGAGACUGAGCAGAGUUAAGAGAUGAAGCCAGAAGCCAUCCCAGCACAUGGAAAUCACUGACUCAACAGAGCCAUACUUUCAUUUGUGCACACUGAUUACUGUAUGUAGUAGCUUCUCUUUGGUAGGUAGUGGGUUAGAGUUAAUGGAUUUCAUGUUAAUUGUCCCUUAAAUAUUUUCUACCAUUAACACAUUUCUUAUUGGAAAUGAUGUGUAAGCAACAGAAAAUAUUCCAUUUCCUUGGAUAAAAGAUACAGUAAUUACUGUGUGCAUAGGGAAAAAUUCGGCAGUUUCAGGGUGAGAUUUAACAUUUAAGUAUAUGCAAUCUUAUUUAUAUACAAGAACAAGAGCCUGUGGUUAAAACACAAUAGGGUUCUUUUUUAAUAAACCAUAUGGAAACUCAUAUAUCUUGUGAGAGGUUGUGAAUUAGCAGAGUACACUAAAAUAUGUUCGAAUUUCUAAAGCAUUCUUAUUGUGCAUUGUCUGUGUUCUAGGUAAAAGGAAAAAAAAAACUCAGGAAUCAUCUAUAAGGUCUCUUAUGUUAUGAUAAAUGGAUUUUCAUGUUCUUUACUAUCUAUUUUAAAUAUGAUAAUUUUCUUGAAAGUAGUUUAAAAGUGGUCAUGUUGUAAACAUCAUUGUAUAGCCAGGAGAAAUGUGUUUACUGCAAGAGUUUAUUAUAUUUCCGUGAUGCUCUAGAUAUCCCCAUCAUCAUGCACAUAGAUUGAAAGCAGGGGUAGCACACUGUUGUCAGACAUUCUCUCAUUUGUCACCUUCUGGCCUCAAAACAUGAAUAGAGAAAUUGCUGCCAGAUGUCAAGAAACAGCCUUAGGGCAUUACAGAGGAUAUUAUCCAUGCCCUUUUAAGUAGUAGACAGAUGCUGUAUUCAGAGAGAGGAUUUUUAUGAUUAUCGUUCACACAGCCCAGGUGAUUGGUCAAGGCCAUAAAGGAGUCUGCAAUCCUUGGAGAACUUUUGGAGUCACUUUAACCAUAACGUAAUGUAUUGCAACAGUUACAAUAAAUUAUGUUAUGGUUCCUGAAUGUAACCGUCAAUUAUCAUUAUUUUUUUAAGUAUCCACUGGAUACAGAUAGUGG
rnacentral:lncRNA from 1 species